rfam:Hammondia hammondi strain H.H.34 contig00887, whole genome shotgun sequence.
GGCGGUUUGUCCGAGUGGUUAAGGAGUUGGACUUGAAAUCCAAUGGGCUCUGCCCGCGCAGGUUCGAACCCUGCAGCCGUCG